UACGAAGGGGGCUAGCGUUGUUCGGAAUUACUGGGCGUAAAGCGCACGUAGGCGGAUAUUUAAGUCGGGGGUGAAAUCCCGGGGCUCAACCCCGGAACUGCCUUCGAUACUGGGUAUCUUGAGUUCGGAAGAGGUGCGUGGAAUUGCGAGUGUAGAGGUGAAAUUCGUAGAUAUUCGCAGGAACACCAGUGGCGAAGGCGGCUCACUGGUCCGAUACUGACGCUGAGGUGCGAAAGCGUGGGGAGCAAACAGG
rnacentral:rRNA from 1 species